GGCGUUAUAUCUCAUCCAUUCUAGCCACAAAUUAGUGUCUGAAAACCCAGUCUCUACUGUCAUAGUGUCUUCAAAGGUGGGAUUGGCUAUAGCUACCAUGUCAUGUAGAGUCUUAAUAUGUGGUUUUAACGUGUUAAUAGUCAUGUGAGUGGUUCCUACCCAGUCUGGUGAGGUGAGCCUUUUUGCUAGGUAUGUCUUUGUAUAUGGCUGCAUAUUGUGUUUGUGGAAAAGGUGCAAACAACUAUGUCACAGUAAUCAAAGGUGUAUGUAGCUACAUCUGUGUUAGAAGAAUUGUACCAGAAAAGUGUAAACAUGAUUAUCUUUGGUUAUGGCCACUUGUUGGGCCCAGGUAAAGUGUAGCAGCAUAAGAAAACACAAGACACAUAAUAAAUUCAUAUUUCAGCAAGAUUAGCCUCUUCUGGAGCAGGCACUUUUUUGCAAUGUGAGGCGUGUAUCCAAGAACUCUUCCCGGCUAGUUUAACUGACGUUGCUGUAAUCAGGAGCACUUGAUAUGGGCCAUCAAAUCUUGGUUCUAGGGUGUGUUUCCUGAGAAACUUCUUGACCAUAACCCAAUCACCAGGAAGCAGCUUGUGUGUACCUGUAUUUGACUCAGGAUCUGGAAUAGAAGAAAACACUUGGGCAUGUAUUUUGGUCAAGGCAUGUGAGAGGGCAGUCACAUAGUCUACCAUAGCAUCUGACUGAAUCUGAAGCUGUUGGGGAAAGUAACAACCUAACCUGGGUGCUGUACCAAACAAAAUCUCAUAAGGUUAUAGGCUAUAUUUUCCCCUAGGAGUGUACCUUACACUAAACAACGCUAAUGGGAGACUCUCGGGCCAGGGCAUGUUAGUUUCUUGUGACAUUUUAAGCAUUCUGGCUUUCAAAGUGCCAUUCAUGCGCUCUACCUUACCACUACUCUGUGGGUGAUAUGGUGUGUGGAAUGCAAGGGUCACCCCCAGUGCUGGCCAGACUUCCCGUGUUAGUGAGGCAGUGAAGGAGGUCCCUUGGUCACUUUCAAUUACUUCUGGAACUCCAUAGCGGCAAACAAUUUCUGUCAAG
rnacentral:lncRNA from 1 species